rnacentral:tRNA from 1 species
UAGCUCAGUUGGUUAGAGCGUGGUACUGAUAACACCAAGGUCGUGGGUUCGAUCCCCAU